UUUCUUAAUUGCAAUAUUUUAAGCAGACAGCACUGGUGUAGUAACUAGUGAGUCAAAAGGGUGUUUGGGACCAUCUGUGAGACCCCAUAAGAUGUCAAGGCAAAAAAUAGUAGUAGAAAGGGGAUGUCCACCGACAAGGUACUUCUAGGAAUGGGAUUGCUCAUGCCAACACUAGUAGCUUUUUAGAAAAAAUGAUAAUAGAGCAACAAGAAAAAAAUUGGUAAUGUCUUGGUUUAUAGGCCUGUUUCUGGAGUCAUUUGGGGCACUGAUUCAGAAAAUUGCAUUGGAUCUAAUUUCAUGUUUUAAAUUUUUAUAUCGUAUUUUAAUAGUUUUUUAAUUGAUUGUAUGUACUGUUUUUGAUUUAUAACUAUGUUGUAGGCAUUGAAUUUUGCCAAUUGUUGUAAGCUGCCCUGAGUCCCUUCAGAUGAGGAGGCCGGGGUAUAAAUGCUGGAAAUAAAAUAAUAAAUAAAUAAACAGCAUCAGCUCUAGUUUGUUAGAUAUGCUUACCAUAGUUUUCAAUGGGCAAGCAGAUGAUAAAUGCUGCAUGGCAUGUGUUCUAUAUCUCAAAAACUAAAGCUGAUAGGGGAAAAUGGGUGCCAUUUUUCAAUCCACAGGUCAAAUAUAACUAGAAACAGGGUUAACAUUUGAGGCACCAAAAUGUGUGUUGGCUAGUGUAAUGCUACUGUGAAUUAAUAUUAACCCUAUAGACAAUGCACAUACUCCAGCCAUCCCAUUUGGGAUUGUUUGCGUAAAUUUAGAUACCUGUGAGGUGUGUUUGUUCCUAGCAUGAGCAUUUCCAGGAGACAUAACAAAUUGCAAAGGUUCUCCUCAUGUUCACUGAGAAAAAAAAAGUCUUCCCACAAUGAGAUCCUCAGUUGAAAAAAGACUAACCAUAGUGACAUAUUGUGAUAUUCUUAUUUGGAGAGGGGGAAAUUAUUUGUGCAAACAUGUUUUUCUUUGCCUAGAAAAAAUGUACAAAAUAGUGUGUUUGUGCGCAAAAUUCACUGUCUUCUUUGCAACCCUAUUGCAAAUGUAACAAAGUGUAAAAAAGAAAAGGAAAUAUAGUACUAAAAAUGAGCGAUACAUCUUGUAAUCUUACCCAGCAGGAGAAGGGUUGAGGCUGUCUUUUGAAAAUAUUUGUUGCUGCAUGCAAGGAUGAAGUAAACAAAGAUUCACCCUUCAAGCAUUUCCCUGAGCUGGGUGUAUCUAGCUUUGGCUUUCACAAAAUGCAGUGUGGCGUGUGUUGUAUUUUCAUUGAAUGCAAGUUGAAGGACGGGCCUCUGGACAAGUGGGAUUUGGGCCAAUGUUCUAUUUCUUUAAAUAUUGUUGCUGAGUGUAAGGGGAGUACAUAUAGAUCAUCCUUCCCUCUCUCUCUUUUUCCUGUUCUUUUUCAGAACCUUUGCCUAAGGCUACGCCUCAUACAAUUGGCAGGCCAAUUCCUCGUGGCAUUUCGAUGUGGUGCUGAGUUAACAAAAGGGAGGAAAACACCUUGGGACAUGUUAUGUGAAAGCUGCUGUAAAAUAACAGUUUGCAUUUGCACUGCAUUACUUACCUGUGUGAAGGGAUCGAUGGCACUUGCAUUUUGCUCUGUUACUCUACCAAAGGAACAGGUGGGGAAUCGGCAGUCUUCCAAGACAACACAUCCAAAGCUGGGAGCUGAAAUCCAAAAACAUCUGGAGAACUUUUUUGCAAAAGGAAUGCACCCCCAUUGUAUUCACAGGACAAGUUUUUUAAAAGAGCGGUUAGCAAGUACAGGCAUGGAAAGGUUGACAACUCUUAACACUUCUGCCACAUUUUUUUCUCACCUGUAAACAUGGACCUUGUGCAAAAGACUAUUUAUUUCAAAACUGACAAUUAUUUCUGAUCACUUCAACUUUGAAAACAAAAAAAGGUCUCCCCUGGAUCUAAAACAACUAGAAGGUACAAGGAGUCUUUCAAAGUAAAACCAGGCAUGUGAACCUUCACACCAGGUUUCUAGGUGGAACAUACAAAGCACCCAGAUGUCUGGAAGCUGACCAUCUCUGUUUUUCCCUAAUCAAUAAACAGCAAACUGCAGCUAUAGCUCAGGUCCAAAGAACAAGCUACAUUUUAGAGAGGCAAUGAAAGAUUACAGUUUUAUUUCUGAAAGAAGUUGCAAGAAUAACUACUUUCAGAAGUGAGAAAAAGUAUAAUAUAUAAAUUACCAAUAUGUUCUCUGAUCUUCCACCAGAAGCAUUAUUGCAACUGGGCUUACCUACAAGUAAGAAGCAGAUAUUGGCUGCAUAGGUGUGACAGUUUCUCAAGUCGCUCCUGAUAUGAAAAAAGGUGUGUUAAUACAGUAUGGGACUUUGUAGGUGUGGCUUCCCUAGCUUUAGGGAAGGGAAAAUACAAAUAAGUAGUCCCUCUCCAUCUUUUAAUACCAAAAAUUCACGAAUACAAAAAAGAGCAAAGUUGGUGGAUUCUGAGAUUUCUAGUACAUUUUCCAAACUUUCAUAACGGGAGAGUGAUUUGGUCACCCAUUUAAUAGAUUAGAGCAGAGUUUCUCAAACUGUGCACCCUGAGAUGUUUUGGACUUCAGCUCCCACAGUUCCUAACAGCUGAGAAGCUGGCUGGGCUUUCUGGGAGCUGAAGUCCAAAACAACUGGAGGAACCCAGUUUGAGAAACAUUGGAUUAGAGCAACCCUGGUGGAUCAUAUCAAUGUCAAAACUUACAUUCUCUUUUUAGCAGUUGCUAACCAGAUGUCUUCCUGGAGGUCUACAAGUUAACAGAAAGGCAACAGCCCUCUCCUUUUCUUGUCCCAAUCAGAGAUAGCCCUGUCAUUAAGAAGACUGAGGCAGCAACAGUAUUGAAGAAAAGAGAGGAGCAAUAAGAGGUACAAAGACUAUGGCCCUCAUCACAUGAGGGGAAACGGGGGAAUGAGCUAGCCUACUUGGUGAAUCUGUGAAUCUCUCAUUGGCCCCAGUGCUACCUACAGAAUACAAAAAGCCUGUGUUCUGGACACAGCAUCCUAGGAUGCUUCUGUCACAGUUCAUCUACAGAGCCCUCCUGGAAGUGAAUGUGAGGCAUGUGAUGGGCAUCAUGGGACUAAGUAGAUGAAGUGUGCUGCAAGUGUCCUAAGAUGCUUGCAAACAGGGCUGUAGCCAAGGGGGGGGGGGGUAGGGUUUUUAAAAAACCUGGUUUACUCAUGAAUUUUAACUGAUUAACCAAAUCUGAUUAACUGAUUAAUCAAAUCUCUAUGAGUGUCCACUGAAGUUUAUCUGUCUUGAGUGUCCACUAAAGUUUAUCAAUGGAGCUUGAUUUCUAAAUUAUUUUGUGUCAUGGAACUACUCUUCAUGAUUCACUAAAAAAAAAGUUUCAACCCCCCCCCCCCCCAGCUAUGGCCCUGCUUGUAAAAGCCAGGGUGAUGAAGUCCUAUGUCACACAGUCCACUCCAUAUCUGUCAUGUGAACCUGUUGCCUGUUGCCAGAAGCAGAAAUGAUGAAAAUGCCCAAAACAUAUUUUUCUUACUCAAAAAUGUGUAAAUAAUAAUAAUUAAUGAAUAAAAUACACACAAAAUGUAUAAAGUAGAAAAAGGUGCAUUGGAAAUGCACCAAAAGGUCUGCAUGAGAAGGGCAGGGGAACCAAAUUCUUGCAAACUCUAAGGACCUCAUCACAUGGAUAAGGUCCAGCACCAUGAUUCGCCAGCCUCCGUGGCGAAUCAUGGUGGCAGCAGGGCUGCAGUGGGGCAAUCUCAGUGCCCCGGCCACCAGCUGAUGUUUCCCCACCCCAUGUGGGGAAGAGUUCCUGCUCCGUCGGAGCCCCAUUGUUCUUUAUGGAACAUGAGGCAGCUUCUAUAUUGGUGGAGCCCCACCAUGCUGACACCCCAGUUUGCUCACAGAGUCCCACUGGAAGUUGUCCAGUGUCGUUUGAUAGGCAGUGUGGGGCUCCAUGGAUGAACCAGGGCAGAAGCGCUGUAGGACGUUUCAGCUGGCCUGUGUCAAAAGGCUUAUGUAGCAAAAAACAAUAGAACAGGCAGAUGGGAUUGAGAGGCACACAGGAAAAAAAGAGCCUUCAUUCCAUAUGGACAAGGCAAUUCAGGUCGCAAGCCUCUUUCAACCUUAGAUUCAGUAUUGCAACCUCUUUUGCAAAGCCAUUUGCAGUGUUGCAUAGAGGUUCAUUUUUGAAGAGGGAACGUCUUAGAUCCCAUAAGAUAUGCUCUGCCUCAAGUAGCUCUAUGGAUUCUGGCCCAGUUUUUACUGCUUGAUUUUUAGUGUUUCCCACAACCAGUUGAAAGGAUUUCCCUAAAACAAAGUUUAAUGUUUCAAGCAUCAUUUAAUUUUGUGAUAAUCAAGAGAAAGAAAAUUCUGCAGAGUUUUCAGUUUCCUAUUUUGAUGAAAUUAUUACUUAUUAUGAAAAAGCAUAAAUUGAACAGGAGAGCUGCCCAUGUGCUUUAUGAAUAGUACUGUUAUCACAUCAACACAGAAAGAAGAAUAUAAAAGGUCAUGAAAUGUAGUAGGGAAAAGUAUAUGUCAUCUUUAUGUACCCUACCUUUUGUGUCUUGAGAUUCUUUUUUAGUUAAAUUAACCUUACUGUAUUUCCAGUGGAUUUGUAUUAGGAGACUAGAAUUUGUUAGAGGCCUUAGAUACCACAGCCUACUAUCCUCUCUUGGAUAACUUGAAAUGAAUUUAAGUAAGAAAAGUAGUAAUAAAUAUGCACAAUUUCAAAUGAAAUUCCAUCAUGAAAAAGGUGAAAAUUGAAUAGCCUGGCAGGCAUUGUUUUGCCUUAAAACGUUCUGCUUUAUUGCAAUCUAUCAAUUGAUCUUAAUUUUAGUAAACAGACACACAGGUGGAUUGUGUGGCAUUGCAGAUAAUUAUUUCAGAGAAUCUCUCUCUCUCUCUCUCUCUCUCUCUCUCUCUCUACACACACACAUAUGCACACAUGAGUGUGCGCACACACACACACAUAUAUAACACAUAUUUUCCUAACAGGUUAGACUUGAUUUUUAAAAAAUUAAUGGCACAACUGCCAGCCAUUAAAUGCAGCCAGAUCAAGUGAGGUGCAUUUAGUCUGUGAACCAAAUUGAGUUUGGGGUCAGUAAUACUAAAAUAAAUGCUCAGCAGUAAAAAA